rnacentral:rRNA from 1 species
AGCGAACGCUGGCGGCAGGCUUAACACAUGCAAGUCGAGCGGGCACUUUCGGGUGUCAGCGGCGGACGGGUGAGUAACGCGUGGGAACGUGCCCUCUGGUUCGGAAUAACUCAGGGAAACUUGAGCUAAUACCGGAUACGCCCUUUUGGGGAAAGGCUUGCUGCCGGAGGAUCGGCCCGCGUCUGAUUAUCGAGUUGGUGAGGUAACGGCUCACCAAGGCGACGAUCAGUAGCUGGUCUGAGAGGCUGAUCCGACACACUGGGACUGAGACACGGCCCAGACUCCUACGGGAGGCAGCAGUGGGGAAUAUUGGACAACGGGCGCAAGCCUGAUCCAGCCAUGCCGCGUGAGUGAUGAAGUCCUUAGGGUUGUAAAGCUCUUUUAUCCGGGACGAUAAUGACGGUACCGGAGGAAUAAGCCCCGGCUAACUUCGUG